rnacentral:rRNA from 1 species
CCUACGGGAGGCAGCAGUUAGGAAUAUUGGACAAUGGGCGCAAGCCUGAUCCAGCCAUGCCGCGUGAACGAUGAAGGCCUUCGGGUUGUAAAGUUCUUUAGCCGAUGAUUAUAAUGACUGUAGUCGGAAAAUAAGCCCCGGCUAACUUCGUGCCAGCAGCCGCGGUAAU